GGGCGCAUGGUGGCGUAGUGGUUAGCACGUUCGCCUCACACCUCCAGUGUUGGGGGUUCGAGCCCUGCUGGGGCCA